GCUCCUCCUGAUCCCGUCCCCUUCCUCCCCGCCAGCUCCCUUCUCCAUCGUCGCCUACCCCCACCGCCACCUACCCCCACCGUCGACGACCCUCACUGCUGACCCACGCCCAGACCCUUGCUGGAUGCAGCAAGGAUUCACUAGAGAGCUCCUAUGCUCCAACCCCACCAGCGAGCGGCGACCUCCUACUCUCCCCCAACCUCACCUCCGGCUGCCCCUAGAUCGGCUAGAGCUGCUCUUCUCGUGACCAGAUCCAGCAGUAAUCCCUCCCUCCCACCUCGUGCCUGAAACCCCGGCGCAGCCAACCUCCGUCUCUGGCCACGAUCUCGCCAACUCCACUCCGACCACGACGCGGCGGGCGGAUCCAGCCCGUGCGGGCGCGAUGGCGGUCGGCUCCACAAUGGCGAGAACAUGCAGCGGUCCCCGCCGACCAAAUUAGGUUCGUCUCCUACCACAGUUGAGUCAUUCUACCAUCGAUUUGCUUUGCACGUUCGCGACCUCUGAUCCUUUCCCAUUGAUUUUCUCGGGCGGCUGCCUCUCCCACCAUCGACGGCGCGUGCUGUCCCAUGAUCCAUAGCCCGAGGUAUCUCCUCAUCAUCUGCCCGUCGCCCAGUCUGUAGCAGAGGAUCCCCAUCGCCUGCCACCAGUCUUCAGUAGAGGAUCCCCACUCUGUUGGGCACAACACGAACACCCAAAAUAGUUAGAGAGCUAAACGGGGCGAGGCUAGAGGCAUCGGUGAGGGCGUACGGUGGCGCCGGCCAGAGCAAGGUGUCCAACAAAUGGCCCAACCCCUACAUGCUCAUCUACGGGGUGCUUCUGGUGGUCUCACUCUUCGAGCACUUCUGGAGGCCGCUCAAGUGGUUCGCCAUGGCGGGGGCGGCCCCCGGCCUGCCGCCGAUCGUGCUCAGGAGCGUCGCCGCGCUCUGGCGGUGCACCAUAGACGUCAACAUACUCAUGCUCAUCGCAGGUUGCUGCUGCUAUGAUGGAAGAUCGGAAGAGGCAUGGAGAUGCGCACCACAGCUUUAGUUGAUGUUGCACCAUGUUUUGGUGCUUGUGUAUCUGUUUUUGCUUGUAAGCACACUUGUAUGUGCUUGUGUAUCUGUUUUUACUUGUUUUAGUUGAUGUUGGACGUGCAGACUUGUAUGUGUUGUUGUGUGUAUUUGGAUGAAUGAUUUCUGAAUUUAAUCAUUUAAUUGA